CGCGGGGUGGAGCAGCACGUUAGCUCACGGGCUCAUAACCCGAAGGUCGCAGGUUCAAAUCCUGUCCCCGCAACCA
rnacentral:tRNA from 1 species